UGCCAGUGCCAGAGGCAGGUCAACGAACGAAUUCGUCAGUUUUUUCACUUCGCUCUCGCCCGCUGUUGAACUUGAUUCACAUUUUUAAAUAGCCAAUUACAUUUUUAUCAACGCUGCCAUGCCAUGCUUGGCUUCAAGUUCAUGCGUUCGAGGUCGAAAUCAUUUGCUCGUUUGUAAUGGAAUAUUAUAAUGUUUAUUAUAAAUGUGUUGUAAAUUAUUUGCAUUAAAACAGGAAGAGAAAUUUAAGCUAUAAGUCAACGAACUACCUAUUUUACUCGCAUCUAACCUCUCGUCGUAAAUCUCCCGAAGAUCAUCCAUUAAAAUUAACAACCGAGUUGACAAAACGAAGGGACAUUUGGAAAACUGUCUUUCUUAACUGGAGUCCAUUAGAAGGUACUAAAUAUCUAUCCGUCCGUCCAAUGGAGUGUUACAGAUAUUCAAUUUGUUUAUCCCAGACAUCUUUUUUCCCACAUCAUUAGCAAGGCUCACUCCGUAUUCUGAAGAUAUUCUAUGGCAGGGGACUACCAAUGUGGCUUUCGUGUUGGAAGGUCAACAUUAGAUCAAAUAUUUACGAUUCGACAAAUAUUAGAAAAAAACUGGGAAUUCAACCGAGAUGUACACCAAGUUUUCGUACAUUUCCAGCAAGCAUAUGAUUUGAUAAAAAGAAGCAGACUAUGGCUAGCAACGUUAGAAAUAGGAAUACCAAGAAAUUUAAAUUUAGCUAACUGAAACGUGUGUGACAGACUCAUAUGCACAGGUAAGAAUAAGAAACAGAACAUCGAUACCAUUUAGUAUGACAUCAGGACUUAGACAAGGAGACCCCUUAUUAGCUUUGCCAUUCAAUUUGGUCUUAGAAUAUGCAAUAAGUAACGUAUUAUAUCCAAGCUGCGAAUCGAGGAUCAAAACUAGUGUUGGCCUUUACUGAUGAUCUAAAUGCAGUUGCUCAUUUUACAAGAGACGCAAGAGAAGUGUUUCCGAACUCGAGGAAGAAACAGAUAGUCUGAGCCUUUGAAUAAAUGAAGAGAAGACGAAAUACAUGCUGGUAACCAAAAAUCCAAGACUAAGAAAUAGGCUUACUAUUAACUAUUAAUGGUCAUAACUAGUAGUGGAAGAAGAUAACCACAACUACAAGAAGUAGUAGAAGUAGAGAAUUAGUAAUAGCUAUUUGUAUAACAAGGGAGGAAAGUGCUACUUUUCCUCCCGAGAAUGAAGUUUACUGCCCGACGCGUAGCGGAGCGCAGUAAUCAUUCAAGGGAGGAAAAGGCACUUUACUCCCAUGUUAUACAUAUGGUUUUUCCACCUUCCUCAAAUAACAAGUAAUUUUUUCAUUUUUACUUAAUUUAUUUAUGUAACUAACCAACAAAAUUUAUUAGAACUAAAACUAACAAGUACGUACAAUAUAACUGUCAACUGUCAAAUAUAAGUCAAAUUAUUAAUGUAAACAUUGUUAAAUCAGAAUAACAAUUUACUGUUUUUUACCAUUCUGCAAAAUACAGAGUGUUUUUAAAUAAACGUUAAAAUGUAUAGAUA